GAGGCGUCAGUGUGAAGGGAAGGCUAAGGACGCAUCGGUGCUGGAGAGUUGAGAAUAUGCCUUCCCCUCCACCCCCAACCCAGUCACCUUAUUUGAAAAAAAAUUAAAAAACACCUUUUAUUUAAAAACCUAACCCUGGAAGUUUGCUCGCUGACAUCAGGGGAGCAAAGUGAACACAGGAAAAUGGAAAUCAACAUUUGAAACUUUUAAAUGGAAGCUUUAUUGGGGUUCCACAUAUGGAAAACUGCAAAUAGCAGAAGUAUGUGACUCAAUACAUUAUUCUGGAGUGACCACAUCCUCUAACUACCUCCUAGGACAAGAAGGAGAAUGUGAACAAUGCUCCUGAAGGCCCCUUUCCCUCAAAGAAUCACUGCAAUUGAAGGAAAAAUGCUCCAUGUCCCCUAUGCCAGUUGGUGUUUAUCAAAGGACAACGGAGGAGGAGAGACAAAGUGCCUGGAUGUGUGUGUUAAUCAAGAGUUGUCAGGACCCUGCCUCUAAAAGAAAGCGCUAAAAUGAUGCUUUUGACAAGACUUUUCUCAAAAUGGAUGCAGUCUAAGGGUUGGAAAACAAGGCCCAAUCAGGCUAGGUCUGACUUGUCGCCUGCUUUUGUAAAUAAAGUUUUAUUGGCUCACAGACA
rnacentral:lncRNA from 1 species